AGAGUUUGAUCCUGGCUCAGGAUGAACGCUGGCGGCGUGCUUAACACAUGCAAGUCGAACGAUGAUCCCCAGCUUGCUGGGGGGAUUAGUGGCGAACGGGUGAGUAGCACGUGAGUAACCUGCCCUUAACUCUGGGAUAAGCCUGGGAAACUGGGUCUAAUACCGGAUAUGACUCCUCAUCGCAUGGUGGGGGGUGGAAAGCUUUAUUGUGGUUUUGGAUGGACUCGCGGCCUAUCAGCUUGUUGGUGAGGUAAUGGCUCACCAAGGCGACGACGGGUAGCCGGCCUGAGGGGGUGACCGGCCACACUGGGACUGAGACACGGCCCAGACUCCUACGGGAGGCAGCAGUGGGGAAUAUUGCACAAUGGGCGCAAGCCUGAUGCAGCGACGCCGCGUGAGGGAUGACGGCCUUCGGGUUGUAAACCCUCUUUCAGUAGGGAAGAAGCGAAAGUGACGGUACCUGCAGAAGAAGCGCCGGCUAACUACGUGCCAGCAGCCGCGGUAAUACGUAGGGCGCAAGCGUUUAUCCCGGAAUUAUUGGGCCGUAAAGAGCUCGUUAG
rnacentral:rRNA from 1 species